AUGUCCAACGCUGCUGCGACUGCCGUCGGUGCCACAGGCGGCGACGAGCCGUCGCUCACCGCGUCGACCAUCGACGCCCAGGCCGUCGGAUCCCACGUCCUCCGCAUCAAUGGCUACUCCCACACCAUGGGGCUCGGCACCGGCAAGUUCAUCACGUCGGAGAGUUUUACCGUCGGGGGGCAUCGUUGUGAUGUCGACGAAGUCAAAGCAAAAUUCAGAAUUAGUUUGCUCGACCAGGCGGGCAACCCUGUGCGGUCUAACAUCCCUGACGGCGGUCCGACGACGUUCUCCCGCAGGCAAGGUGGUCAUGCUGAAUGGGGUGUCGGUACUCUCAUCUAUAGGAUGGACCUGGAGAGAUCAGAUUACCUUAAGGACGAUGUUUUCAGCAUCAGUACGUUUCACGGAGUACGCUGGCAACGUCCAGGCCUAUCUGGCUAUGCCAUCAUCGAGCAGCGGGAGAAGCACUCCCACUGCAUAUGCCUCAAGUCUUCAUCUGCCUCUGACCUGCACACGAGACGAUUUGUCCUUUUUUAA
rnacentral:rRNA from 1 species